AGAGUUUGAUCCUGGCUCAGGAUGAACGCUGGCGGCGUGCCUAAUACAUGCAAGUCGAGCGAACGGACGAGAAGCUUGCUUCUCUGAUGUUAGCGGCGGACGGGUGAGUAACACGUGGAUAACCUACCUAUAAGACUGGGAUAACUUCGGGAAACCGGAGCUAAUACCGGAUAAUAUUUUGAACCGCAUGGUUCAAAAGUGAAAGACGGUCUUGCUGUCACUUAUAGAUGGAUCCGCGCUGCAUUAGCUAGUUGGUAAGGUAACGGCUUACCAAGGCAACGAUGCAUAGCCGACCUGAGAGGGUGAUCGGCCACACUGGAACUGAGACACGGUCCAGACUCCUACGGGAGGCAGCAGUAGGGAAUCUUCCGCAAUGGGCGAAAGCCUGACGGAGCAACGCCGCGUGAGUGAUGAAGGUCUUCGGAUCGUAAAACUCUGUUAUUAGGGAAGAACAUAUGUGUAAGUAACUGUGCACAUCUUGACGGUACCUAAUCAGAAAGCCACGGCUAACUACGUGCCAGCAGCCGCGGUAAUACGUAGGUGGCAAGCGUUAUCCGGAAUUAUUGGGCGUAAAGCGCGCGUAGGCGGUUUUUUAAGUCUGAUGUGAAAGCCCACGGCUCAACCGUGGAGGGUCAUUGGAAACUGGAAAACUUGAGUGCAGAAGAGGAAAGUGGAAUUCCAUGUGUAGCGGUGAAAUGCGCAGAGAUAUGGAGGAACACCAGUGGCGAAGGCGACUUUCUGGUCUGUAACUGACGCUGAUGUGCGAAAGCGUGGGGAUCAAACAGGAUUAGAUACCCUGGUAGUCCACGCCGUAAACGAUGAGUGCUAAGUGUUAGGGGGUUUCCGCCCCUUAGUGCUGCAGCUAACGCAUUAAGCACUCCGCCUGGGGAGUACGACCGCAAGGUUGAAACUCAAAGGAAUUGACGGGGACCCGCACAAGCGGUGGAGCAUGUGGUUUAAUUCGAAGCAACGCGAAGAACCUUACCAAAUCU
rnacentral:rRNA from 2 species